AUGGCCACCGAGGUCGACGCCGCCGCCGCCGCCGCGGCUGCCACCGCCGCCGCCGCCUCCUCUCCGGCUACCUCCUCUCCUCCCUCUCCUCCCACUUCAUCUCCCCUGCCAACCACCAACCUCCGUCCCGAAACCCCAUCUCUGAGUGUCACUUCCGUGCCUCUCCCUCUCCAGACGGCACCGCCACCGGCCUUCUAUCCGACGCCCGCGUAUGUGCACGCCAUGCGCGUCGAGGGCGCUCACAUCAAUCUCCCCGUCCGCCUCGCCAUGAACGGCGCCAACUACACUGUCUGGCGGGGGAUGAUGCUGGACGUCAUCGAUCAGUAUGACGUCGCCUCUUGGAUCGCGCCAGACUUCGCCGACCACGCCGGCGACGCGAGCUGGAACAUCGUCAACAAGGCGGUGAAGCGGUGGUUCCUCGGCGCGAUGGUGACCGAGCUCGCCGCCUUCAUGCUCGACCGGGAAGCCACCGCCGCCCAGACCUGGGCCUCCGUCGAGGCUCUCUUCGUCAACAACCGUCGGGCGCGACGGUUCCAGCUCCAGACGGAGCUCUCUGAAACUCGUCAAGGGGACUCCUCCGUUUCCAUCUUCUGCGCUCGCCUCAAGUCCAUCUCCGACCAGCUGCGCGACGCCGGCAAGAUCCUGGAUGAUGACGAGUUGGUCAUCCAACUUCUACACGGCAUCAACAAAGAUCGUCAUCAGACUACUGCCAAAAUUAUAGAGAAGUCCCCAACUCCCAUCCCUUUUGACGUUGCCGUCGGCAUGCUUCUGCACGACGAGAUCGGCAACAACUUCGCCGGCUCCACCCAUCACACCGCCCUCGCUGUCGAGCCGAGGGGUCCGUCGCCCGCGCCCUCGAUUGGGGCCUCCGGCGGCCUGGCUCGGCCGCCCGCUGCUGGUCUCGGCGGCGGCAAAGCCUCCUCUCCCUCACCCAACCAGGGACACAACAAACGCCGCCGCUACACCAACAAUGGCGGGUAUCAGGGGGCCGCGGCUACACCGCCGUGGACGGGGCACGUCUUCGCCUACCCGAUGGCACUCCCACCUCAACCUCGUCCGGCGCCCGGGAUCCUCGGUCCGCGGCCGCCGCACGCCUACGCCGCCUUCGGCGGCCACCUCCAGCAGCCGUCUCCGAUGGGCUACCCUCCACUGCAGCAGUACCUGCCGCCGGCGCCUCCUCCUCAUCAGCAGUUCCUGCCGGCGCCACAUCUUCCGCAGCAGUACCAGGCGCAGCAGCACCAGGCGCAGCCGUACUUCCACCCGCCCGCGGCCGCCAUCUCCAACGCUGUCGACCACUCCGCCCUGAUGAGCGCUCUGCACAACCUGUCGAUCCAGUCGCCCAGCGGUGGCUGGGUUGCGGACUCCGGCGCCUCCUCUCAUCUAGCGGCUGAUCCCGGACUAUCCAACCAAGGUGGAGCUUCUUCGAUGCAACAGUGA
rnacentral:rRNA from 1 species